rnacentral:rRNA from 1 species
UCCGGUUGAUCCUGCCGGAGGCCACUGCUAUCGGGGUCCGACUAAGCCAUGCGAGUCAAGGGGGUGUCCCUCUGGGACACCACCGGCNGACGGCUCAGUAACACGUCGGUAACCUACCCUCGGGAGGGGGAUAACCCCGGGAAACUGGGGCUAAUCCCCCAUAGGCCUGAGGUACUGGAAGGUCCUCAGGCCGAAGGGGCUCUGCCCGCCCGAGGAUGGGCCGGGCGCCGAUUAGGUAGUUGGUGGGGUAACGGCCCACCAAGCCGAAGAUCGGUACGGGCUGUGAGAGCAGGAGCCCGGAGAUGGACACUGAGACACGGGUCCAGGCCCUACGGGGCGCAGCAGGCGCGAAACCUCCGCAAUGCGGGAAACCGCGACNGGGGGACCCCGAGUGCCGUGGCAUCGCCACGGCUUUUCCGGAGUGUAAAAAGCUCCGGGAAUAAGGGCUGGGCAAGGCCGGUGGCGCCGCCGCGGUAAUACCGGCGGCCCGAGUGGUGGCCGCUAUUAUUGGGCCUAAAGCGUCCGUAGCCGGGCCCGUAAGUCCCUGGCGAAAUCCCACGGCUCAACCGUGGGGCUUGCUGGGGAUACUGCGGGCCUUGGGACCGGGAGAGGCGGGGGGUACCCUGGGGUAGGGGUGAAAUCCUAUAAUCCCAGGGGGACCCGCCAGUGCGAAGGCGCCCCGCUGGAACGGGUCCGACGGUGAGGGACGAAGGCCAGGGGAGCAAACCGGAUUAGAUACCNGGGUAGUCCUGGNUGUAAAGGAUGCGGGCUAGGUGUCGGGUGAGCUUCGGGCUCGCCCGGUGCCGUAGGGAAGCCGUUAAGCCCGCCGCCUGGGGAGUACGGCCGCAAGGCUGAAACUUAAAGGAAUUGGCGGGNGAGCACUACAAGGGGUGGAGCGUGCGGUUUAAUUGGAUUCAACGCCGGGAACCUCACCGGGGGCGACGCGGAUGAANGCCAGGCUGAAGUCUUGCCGGACACGCCGAGAGGAGGUGCAUGGCCGCCGUCAGCUCGUACCGUGAGGCGUCCACUUAAGUGUGGUAACGAGCGAGACCCGCGCCCCCAGUUGCCAGCCCUUCCCGCUGGGAAGGGGGCACUCUGGGGGGACUGCCGGCGAUAGCCGGAGGAAGGAGCGGGCGACGUGGUCAGUAUGCCCCGAAACCCCCGGGCUACACGCGCGCUACAAUNGGCGGGACAAUGGGAUCCGACNCCGAAGGGGAAGGGAAUCCCCUAAACCCGCCCCCAGUUCGGAUCGCGGGCUGCAACUCGCCCGCGUGAAGCUGGAAUCCCUAGUACCCGCGUGUCAUCAUCGCGCGGCGAANACGUCCCUGCUCCUUGCACACACCGGCCCGUCACUCCACCCGAGCGGGG